rnacentral:pre_miRNA from 1 species
UUUGUACUCCCUCCGUCCCAAAAUUCUUGUCUUAAAUUUGUCUAAAUACGGAUGUAUCUAGUUACAUUUUAGUGUUAGAUACAUCUUAUCUAAACAAAUGUAAGACAAGAAUUUUGGGAUGGAGGGAAUACUAC